rnacentral:misc_RNA from 1 species
GAGACAAGCAUAUGACUACUGGCAGGAUCAACCAGGUAGCAUUCCACGUCGACUCUUGGCACUGCAUGGACGAAUCCAAAACAACACCGAUUGUCUUUCGCACAUAGCGUGGGACGCUUUUUUUAGGGGCAAAUAGAGACCACCGAUGGUGCCUCGUACCCACGAGGUACUCCAUGACCGAGAGAACGAACGUGGUGCCAUUGAUCCAACUACACAAGAACAUUGAAGCAAUUGGGGGUUGGACCAUGGCAUUCGCUUCGAAGUUCACCUCGUACCACGAACCCAAGGGCUCGCAACUUAAGGCGAAAGGGCGUCAUUAAUCCAACGAAUUCCCARACUUCAGGUACAAAACACAGGAAACCGAGCUCGGCCAAGAUGUUAUUCCUACUCUUGAACCAAUUGCUGAAAAGGCAUGACAGAUACGUUUUCGCUGCGCAAGCAGGGACCAAACAUACCCAUACACACCAUCCACC